CCUGACCCUAUCUUUCUCUCUCUCUCUCUCUCUCUCUCUCUCUCCCAAAAAAACCCCAAUCCCUCCUCCAUCAAGCCCCAAAAUCGGAGCUCCCCCAAAUCCGAUUUCUCCGACGACUUCACCAACUCCGCCUCCCUCCCAAAUCCGCCACCUCCGACGGCGUCACCAACUCCUCCAUACUUCGCCGACUUCGCCGACUUCCCCUUCGAUCUCCGUCGAUCUCCCUCGAUCUCCCUCGGGCUCUCUAAGUGAUCUCCCCCAACUUCGCCAACUACCCCCUCCUCCGUCAACUUCCCCUCUACUCCGCCGACUUCGAUCUAACGGACUCCGUCAAGGGACCAUGAACGGUAACGGAAAGGGGUACGCCUCGUUAGAAAUCGAUAAUGGAGAGAAUCUCGAUAAUUUGAGCUCGAUUUCUGCUGUAAUGGUGCUCAAAACUCUAUUCUUUCUACUUGUCUGAUAUUGAGCAACAGGGUCAUUGUGGAGGGAUCAGAGAAGCACAGCUCUCUCAAUGAGGGAUCCAUUCUCUGGAUUACUGAAACCAGGUUGCCACUAGGAAGAAUUGAUGAAAUAUUUGGACCUGUGAAGAAUCCCUUCUAUGUUGUCUGGUACAACUCUGAUGAAGAAGUUCCUCAAGGAAUUAGCAUUGGUGUUGCCAUCUCUUUUGUUGUGGAUUUUGCCAACCAUAUUCUAAAUGAAAAAUACCUCUAUGAGAAUGGGUAUGAUGCAUCAGGUAUCGAUGAUGAGGAGGCUGCUGACGAAGUGGAAUUCUCUGAUGAUGAAAAGGAAGCUGAGUACAAGAGAUCUCUCCGUCAAAGUAAGCGAGAUGCAAACUAUGGGAAACAGGGGACUGGGUUUGGCAAGAAAGCUAAUUAUAAGGGUUUAGUUGUAAAGAGAGGUCGACAAUGUGUAAUAUUUAUGCUUCUUAUAUUUAGGACUUUAGUUGUGUAAAUUUGAAGCAGUUGUGUCCCGAAUUUGAAGCAAUCUUUGUGUAAAUCUUGGUUGGCACUCUAUUAUAAAUGAAAACUUGUCUUCCAUUCUGA